rnacentral:pre_miRNA from 1 species
UUAGCUCAUAUUUGUAUGAAAUGGGAUCGUUUGCGUACGUUUGCCGCUAGGGGCGCUGUUCCAACUGCAUACAAAAUUGAGUUA